rnacentral:rRNA from 1 species
ACCGGCGCACGGGUGCGUAACGCGUAUGCAAUCUACCUUUCACAGAGGGAUAGCCCAGAGAAAUUUGGAUUAAUACCUCAUAGUAUUACGAAAUGGCAUCAUUUUGUAAUUAAAGUCACAACGGUGAAAGAUGAGCAUGCGUCCCAUUAGCUAGUUGGUAAGGUAACGGCUUACCAAGGCUACGAUGGGUAGGGGUCCUGAGAGGGAGAUCCCCCACACUGGUACUGAGACACGGACCAGACUCCUACGGGAGGCAGCAGUGAGGAAUAUUGGACAAUGGGCGCAAGCCUGGUCCAGCCAUGCCGCGUGCAGGAUGACGGUCCUAUGGAUUGUAAACUGCUUUUGCACAGGAAGAAACAUCCCGACGUGUCGGGACUUGACGGUACUGUGAGAAUAAGGAUCGGCUAACUCCGUGCCAGCAGCCGCGGUAAUACGGAGGAUCCAAGCGUUAUCCGGAAUCAUUGGGUUUAAAGGGUCCGUAGGCGGUUUAGUAAGUCAGUGGUGAAAGCCCAUCGCUCAACGGUGGAACGGCCAUUGAUACUGCUAGACUUGAAUUAUUAGGAAGUAACUAGAAUAUGUAGUGUAGCGGUGAAAUGCUUAGAGAUUACAUGGAAUACCAAUUGCGAAGGCAGGUUACUACUAAUGGAUUGACGCUGAUGGACGAAAGCGUGGGUAGCGAACAGGAUUAGAUACCCUGGUAGUCCACGCCGUAAACGAUGGAUACUAGCUGUUGGGAGCAAUCUCAGUGGCUAAGCGAAAGUGAUAAGUAUCCCACCUGGGGAGUACGUUCGCAAGAAUGAAACUCA